GUCUAUAGCCGUGCCACCCUGAACAAGCCAGAUCCCAUCUGAUCUCGGAACCUAAGCAGGGUUGGGCCUGGUUAGUACUUGGAAUGGGAGACCACCUAGGAAGACCAGGUGCAGUACGUG
rnacentral:rRNA from 1 species